CAAUAGCGUAUAUUAAAGUUGUUGCAGUUAAAAAGCUCGUAGUUGGAUUUCGGAAUGGGUCAAUUGGUCCGCCGCAAGGUGAGUUACUGGUUGGUCUGUUCUUCUUCGCAAAGACUGCGUAUGCACUUUAUUGGGUGUGCGUAGGAUUUACGACGUUUACUUUGAAAAAUUAGAGUGUUCAAAGCAGGCUAUCGCUUGAAUACAUGAGCAUGGAAUAAUGGAAUAGGACUUUGGUCUUAUUUUAUUGGUUUCUGAGACCGAAGUAAUGAUUAAGAGGGACAAUUGGGGCAUCCGUAUUUCGUUGUCAGAGGUGAAAUUCUUGGAUUUACGAAAGACGAACAACUGCGAAAGCACUUGCCAAGAGUGUUUUCAUUAAUCAAGAACGAAAGUUAGAGGAUCGAAGAUGAUCAGAU
rnacentral:rRNA from 1 species